rnacentral:rRNA from 1 species
UACGUAGGGGCCGAGCGUUGUCCGGAAUUACUGGGCGUAAAGGGCUCGUAGGUGGCCAACUAAGUCAGACGUGAAAUCCCCAGGCUUAACCUGGGAACUGCGUCUGAUACUGGAUGGCUUGAAUUCGGGAGAGGGAUGCAGAAUUCCAGGUGUAGCGGUGAAAUGCGUAGAUAUCUGGAGGAAUACCGGUGGCGAAGGCGGCAUCCUGGACCGAGAUUGACACUGAUGAGCGAAAGCCAGGGGAGCAAACGGG